UACAGGGGGGGCAAGCGUUGUUCGGAAUUACUGGGCGUAAAGGGUUCGUAGGUGGCCAACUAAGUCAGACGUGAAAUCCCUCAGCUUAACUGGGGAACUGCGUCUGAUACUGGAUGGCUUGAGUGUAGGAGAGGAAUGCGGAAUUCCAGGUGUAGCGGUGAAAUGCGUAGAUAUCUGGAGGAACACCGGUGGCGAAGGCGGCACUCUGGGCCGAUACUGACACUGAGGAGCGAAAGCGUGGGGAGCGAACAGG
rnacentral:rRNA from 1 species